rnacentral:lncRNA from 1 species
GUGACUUUUAAGCAAACAGUUUCAUUGGAGUUAUAAGGACAGAAUUGACAUCACAAAGUACUGAGUGGUCACAAAGUAGAACCAUUGGACACAGGCAACUUUUUAGAAAAUUUAUCAGGAAAGGGAAGAAGAGAGAUCUGACAUUGACUGGAUAUAUUAUAAUAGCUAAGAAAUGUUUCUUAGUACAGUGAAACACAGAUUAUAUUUAUUAAUGGAUGGGAAAGAGGUGCCUCUCAUCACCUACCCCUCUGCCUAGCAGCCCAAUGGGAGUGCUUCCUCUCUCCUCUGACUGGGGGGAGAACUAAGAGAAGAUAAUGACUUGUCCUUGGAGACACAGGAAAUGAGUGACAGACCAAAUGAACUCAGUCAGAGCCUGAGCCCAAAGUAUCUAUAUGAAGAAAUGAAAAAGAUUCCCUGGAAAAGGUUCAUAUUGUUACAUCAA